AGGGAAAAAACUUCAACACAUUCAACUGUACUUCUAAAACCCAAGGAUGUAAACACGGGAAUACCUUAUACACAGCCAGGUACAGCUCAAAAACUGUCUAGCGGGCUUCCUAAACAACAGCUGAUGCAAUAUGUCACUAUUCCUUGUCACAGCUGGCAAAAUUCAGACAGCACAGUACCUCAUCAUCCCAUUGUUGACAUUUGAAUAAUAUUCGUUAUAGUUGAGAUAUUCCCAGAAACGAGAAAGCCCAAAAUUCACAUGCCUAGGUUCCUUGACAUAGCAGACGUGCAAUUCAUUUAGACUUCUUUCAAACUUUUGCUUUAUGGAAAGCACCUGGAAAUAAUUAGAAACAGCUGGUGUUAGGAUCCAAUAUUUGGUUCCCAUCAACUGGUCAGCGUAUUGUUUACUUGGAUAGGAUCAAAAUAUUUGAUGACACAACUAACAUGUUCAAGAUAGGAUGUUCCAUUUUCUGUUAUGUUCUUAUCUAAUGCAUGUAUGUUUUUCAAAAAGGCCUUUUGGCAAAGAUAAGGUUGUUUCAGAGGGAAUCAGACCCUACAAAAAAUAAAGUGUGAACAUUGAGAAGUUUUGUAGAAUGAAGGGACGUAUACACAUUGCCAUACACAGCAACGACAGUUAGUAAUGACUCGCAAAGUCUAUAAUUGAGACGCCAAAAUGCUGGAAACAGUAUUUUAAUUAAAUUCUACUUUAUAAAGUAUAAAUGUAUCAGAUAUGUGAUGUAUAUGGUACAUGGUUUACCUGGGAUAUAUUGAUUGUAGAAAGUUCUCCUAAGUCUCCCCGGCAAGCUCCUAUUGUAAGACAAGACCGGAAAUCGAGUGCACAUUGCAAAAUGCUCUCAAUAAUGCUGCCCACUGCCUUUGUUUCAUCAGACAGAAAACAUCUGCAAUAAUACAUAUACAUAAACCUCUUAUUUACCCUGAGCUUAUGGAAAAUAUUUUUAGUCCUAUAGCGUGGUAUGUCUUCCAACUAAAAUUAUGAUAUGUGACACUAUAAUGUUCUUGUUUCCUCUUGCUGUAAAUUUCUUUAGCAGUUGUGAAAGAAAACUUCCAAAUCCAAAGGUUUUUUUUUUGUGGGUGGGUACAAGUUCAAAAACUUGCACUAAAUAGUUACCCUAUUUACACAUCAAACUUGCACAUAAGCUUUACACUAUUGAUCAGUAUGCAGAUAACCAGUUACUAAUAUUACAAUAUUAAUCGAUUGGAAAUUAAUCAGUAAGCAAAUACCUAGUUAACUACUCCCUCCGUUUCAAAAUGAGUGUCGCGUUAGCCAAUUGCACACAGAUUAAGGAAUGAAAUGAAAUAAUCAUUAGAAAUAACACUUUUACUAAACUGCCCUUGUAUUAUAUGAAAAAGACAAACUUAAAGUUGCAUUGAAAAUUGUGUGAGAAAAAAGUUGGAGUAUUUAUUGAGGGUAAAGUUGGAAGAAAAAAAUUAAAGUUGUAUUGGAAAUGUAAAGUGACAUUCAUUUUGAAACAAUUUUUUUUUGCUAAAGCGACACUCAUUUUGAAACGGAGGGAGUAGUAAUCAGUAUUACAAAGGAGGACCAAACCCCGUGGAUACCCACCAAAGCCCACCCCGACAUUAAUGGGAAAAAUCCACUUUGACUAGGGCUUAUGUUGGGGCAGAGAUGGGUGUCACAUGUUGAAAAAAGAAUUUAGAAAUCAUCCAUGUCAGUCAAUUUGUGAAGGAGUAACCGCACAGGAAAUAGAGCUGGGUCGAAGAUAAUGCAAUGAAGUUGUGGCAGUGGACGGAAGAACUCUUCCCUACCCCCCACAGCCACAAUUGCCAAGCCUAGCAAGAGCUUGCCUACAGGGUGGCAUGCAGAUAUUGGUGAAGAUCUUAACUAGGAAAACCAGAUUAGACAAAUUCAUAAUUCAAUUUGUUAGCUAAAGUAAUCAUAAUUACCAAAAUACUUUCUCAAAAUUGGCUUUCUAGUAACUGUCUCUAUAAAUAAAAGCAGCAAUUAAAUGUAAACUUACAUGCUUAACGAAUCAGCAAGAUAUUCCGUGUGCACUGACUCGAGAUCCAUCAUAUCUUUCACCUGCAUGAAUGGCGGGAAUAUCCAAAACAUUGAUAUAGUGAUUGAAUUUUGAAGUCAUACACAUCAUCAUAUCUAGCCGUGUAGAGUAUUUAAUUUUUACGAAAAGGUUUGGUGCUUUUUUUGUUCCCAAUUCUAAGAAAAAGCCACAAAUUUUAAGAUGUAUUGAUUGCUGAAACUACUUUAAAAUCCUUCACAUGUUUACAAGAAAUACAUCUUUCUCCAUGUAAGUGGGUGGGGGAACAUUUAAUGACGAGGUAAUAUUUGGAAUGAACUUUCAAAACUGUAGUGUUAAAUUAGUCCUGAAUUUUUCUUCUUGUAUAUGGGACCAGAGGUAGCAUUCAUUAAUAAUUAAUAAAAUAAAGAAACAAACAGGCAGGUACAGCUCAAAAACAUGUGGCAGAUUGGCGUCGUGACGUUGUCAAAGAAGAUAACCCUAAAAACAGAUAUUUUGCCCGUAACGCCCUUGGCCCUCUUUAAAGAAAGGGUAAUGAGAUACUCUUUAAAGAAAGCAAGCAUUCUUCUCAAACCAAAGGAUAAUAUAAAAUACACAGCCCAAAACCUGGUACUAAAACAUUUAAUUUUAACCAGCAGAA
rnacentral:lncRNA from 1 species